ACGGUGAUAGGGGAGCUUGCUUCUCUUGAUCAGUGGCGAACGGGUGAGUAACACGUGAGUAACCUGCCCUUGACUCUGGGAUAACUCCGGGAAACCGGGGCUAAUACUGGAUACGAAGCGCCUCGGCAUCGGGUGCGCUUGGAAAGUUUUUCGGUCAAGGAUGGACUCGCGGCCUAUCAGCUUGUUGGUGAGGUAAUGGCUCACCAAGGCGUCGACGGGUAGCCGGCCUGAGAGGGCGACCGGCCACACUGGGACUGAGACACGGCCCAGACUCCUACGGGAGGCAGCAGUGGGGAAUAUUGCACAAUGGGCGAAAGCCUGAUGCAGCGACGCCGCGUGAGGGAUGAAGGCCUUCGGGUUGUAAACCUCUUUCAGUAGGGAAGAAGCGAAAGUGACGGUACCUGCAGAAGAAGCGCCGGCUAACUACGUGCCAGCAGCCGCGGUAAUACGUAGGGCGCAAGCGUUGUCCGGAAUUAUUGGGCGUAAAGAGCUCGUAGGCGGUUUGUCGCGUCUGGUGUGAAAACUCAAGGCUCAACCUUGAGCUUGCAUCGGGUACGGGCAGACUAGAGUGUGGUAGGGGUGACUGGAAUUCCUGGUGUAGCGGUGGAAUGCGCAGAUAUCAGGAGGAACACCGAUGGCGAAGGCAGGUCACUGGGCCACUACUGACGCUGAGGAGCGAAAGCAUGGGGAGCGAACAGGAUUAGAUACCCUGGUAGUCCAUGCCGUAAACGUUGGGCACUAGGUGUGGGGCUCAUUCCACGAGUUCCGCGCCGCAGCUAACGCAUUAAGUGCCCCGCCUGGGGAGUACGGCCGCAAGGCUAAAACUCAAAGGAAUUGACGGGGGCCCGCACAAGCGGCGGAGCAUGCGGAUUAAUUCGAUGCAACGCGAAGAACCUUACCAAGGCUUGACAUACACCGGAAUCGGCCAGAGAUGGUCGCGUCUUCGGACUGGUGUACAGGUGGUGCAUGGUUGUCGUCAGCUCGUGUCGUGAGAUGUUGGGUUAAGUCCCGCAACGAGCGCAACCCUCGUCCUAUGUUGCCAGCAC
rnacentral:rRNA from 1 species